rnacentral:rRNA from 1 species
UACGUAGGCAGCGAGCGUUGUUCGGAGUUACUGGGCGUAAAGGGUGUGUAGGCGGUUGCUUAAGUUUGGUGUGAAAUCUCCCGGCUCAACUGGGAGGGUGCGCCGAAUACUGAGUGACUCGAGUGCGGGAGAGGAGAGUGGAAUUCCUGGUGUAGCGGUGAAAUGCGUAGAGAUCGGCAGGAACACCCAGGGGGAAACUAGUGGACUGGGCAUGUGCUGACGCUCAGGUGCGAAAGCGUGGGGAGCGAACCGG